AACGAACGCUGGCGGCAGGCCUAAAACAUGCAAGUCGAACGAUGUAGCAAUACAUAGUGGCGCACGGGUGAGUAACACGUGGGAACAUACCCUUUGGUGCGGAACAACGUCGGGAAACCGACGCUAAUACCGCAUAAUAUCUACGGAUCAAAGAUUUAUCGCCAAGGGAUUGGCCCGCGCUAGAUUAGGUAGUUGGUGAG
rnacentral:rRNA from 1 species